AUGGCUUCUUGGUGGCAGAGAAUGGGGACCUCCGUGCACCGGAGAUGUCUCCAGCACCAGGAGCAGCUGGAGGAUGCAAGGAGCUGCAGCCCGUGACCAGCCAUCAGGAGAACUCCGCGGGUCCCUGGGGUCCCUGUGCAGACAGUUCCAAUGGAGGCUGCCUCUGAGAGCCAUCAACCUCAACUUCCGUGCAGGCCCUUCCUGCAAAUGCUUGGAAACCCCAGAGCCAGGGCAGCAGGGCCUCCAGGCUACGGCUCACUCAGCUAAGAGUGCCUUGGGUGCCAUGUCCCAGAGAAUCCAGGAGUCCUGCCAAAGUGGCACCAAGUGGCUGGUGGAGACCCAGGUGAAGGCCAGGAGGAGGAAGAGACGGGCACAGAAGGGCAGUGGCUCCCCAGCUCACAGCCUGAGCCAGAAGAGCACCCGGCUAUCUGGAGAUGCCCCUGCCCACUCAGCCCACAGACCCCUGGGAGAAGGAGCAUAACUGCCUCUCCGCCCGGAUAGGCUCCCAUGCCUACCCAUUAUGACAGUCGAUGCAGGAGGCUGCCUUCUGGAGCCCCUACUCCUCAACAGAGCCACUCUGCUCUCCCAGCCAGUCUGGCAGUGACCUAGAGCCUAUGGGGGUGGGAAUUCAGCAUCUCCAGAAGCUGUCCCAAGAGCUAGAUGAAGCCAUUAUGGCGGAAGAGAGUGGUGACAUCAUCUCUCUC
rnacentral:lncRNA from 1 species